GGAGCUGUGAGCUGGGGGGACUUUCAGAGUCGCUCUGCAUUAAGAUGGAAAAAAGAAGCUUGGAGAAGGGGAAAUGACUUUACCCAGCUAAGAAUAUGGCAAAGCUGAGCCAACUAGUCAAGUUUUCUGACCCCAAAUCCUGUAUUUCCCAUGACUCAUCUUGUGGAAGGCUGAGAUGCGGAAAUUGAGACUCAAAGAGGUUGAGCAGCAAUUCCGUGAGCUGAAACUUAAGCCCAGAUGCAUGUGAUUCCAGAGGCAGGCCCAGGCCCACUCGCCUCCUGUGAGUAUCAGGGAAGUCCAGUGCUGUCUGCUGCUGGCCUGUGAUGGAUGAAUUGGCCCUCUUGGACUUGGUCCAGUGCUUUCAAACUCGACUUUGUCCCUCCAUCCAUAUGUUCAGGCUUUUUUCCCUCCUCCCCACAGCCUGGGCAUGGCAGGUGAAGGAGCCUCCUCCUCUACUUUCUCUGCUUCUCAAAUGUUCUAAGACUUGGGAGAAGCCCAAAGACCUCCAGGCUCUUCACUCAUUCAUUCAACAGAUACCUUCUGAGCAUCUGGUAUGUUCUGGAUUUUGUCGUAGGGGUUGUGAACACAGCAGGCCAGGUUGUUGUCCGCAUGGAGGUUAUCAUGAACAAAUGCAUCAACGAGAAGAUUGUAGGGAAUGGCAUGAGCUUUGAUGUUACUAAAACAAGUUGGUGUCAUUGGAAGUGACUGGGGGAUGCGAGAGGGGCUGUUUUGCUAGCAUGUAGGGAAAUCCACUCCAUAGAGGGGAUGUUCGAACCGAGAUUUAAAUGAAAAGAAGCCACUCAGAGGAAGAUCUAGAAGAAGAAUAUUCCACACCAAGAGAGCGACAAGUGCAAAGUUCUCAAGGUUGGAAUGGACUUUACCAACUCAAGGAAGAGAAACGAGGCUGGAGCUUGGAGAGCAGGGGCAGAGGUCUGCUUCAGGGGACCCCCAAUCUAAGACAGAUAUCCCCAAUUUCACAUGAAGAGACUGAGGCAGCUGGAGGCAAAGCAGCUUGUACAAGACCCCACAAGAAGAGGAGGAGUUGCUUUCUUGAACUGCUGUGGUUUUACCCACAGUCACCGGACCGUGCUGCCGCCCUGGUGGGAGGAUGUGUCUGCCUGCACAGGUUGAACAAUCUCAAGACACCUUGCUGGAAUUGGCAGAACAUUGAGCUCAUUCGGUCACUACCAGGGCUAUCAGGCACAGAGGAUGAGGCAGUCCUGCCCUGCCCUCUAGAACCGAAAGUCUGGACAGGGAGUGGCAGUUAAAUGUGGGGCAGAAUGAGAUCAAUGUCUCCAAGGGGUAACCCUGUCAUCCUCUCCCUUGGAUCUUCUCUGGGAGAGCUGCAGGACAUGAGCGAUCACUCUUUCUUUUCAGAUGGGUAAACUGAGGCUCAGAGAGGAGAUGGACUUGCCCCAGGCCACACGGCUUAUACCUGGCAGAACUGAGUCUGUCCCAGGGCUCUUUGAGCACCUGGGGAUGCAGAAGCUGGCGGGGUGGGAGGUGGCGGGGACUGUGGAAGGCUUCGUGGCUCUCAUGGGCACUCCAGCUCACUGUCUUUACUGCCACAGCCACUGCUUCUACAUUUGCUAUCUCAUUGGAUCAUGGCGCCUUGAACAAAAGUGUCCUUACUCAUUAUCUAAUUGAACUCCCAUUUUACAGGUGGGAAAAUUAAGACCCAGAGAAGGAACUUCCCAGAGAGCUAUCCAGUGAGCCAAGUCAGAGUUAGGAGCAGGAGCCUCAAAUUCCCAGGAAAGCAGCACGGUCCUCGAGUUCCCCCAAAAGCCAGACGGCAUCUUUGACACCUGACUCCCAGGGGCCAGUCCUGGAGAGGACACCUGGCCUGGAGCCAACCUUCCUCUCCUCGCUGCCAAAGCUCUGCUCUCUGGGUUCUGGCACUGUCUGAAAAUUCCUCCGUUGGUCUGCUCUCGGCAGAGCAUAGAUUAUCACUCUUGUGCUAAUUAUUUUUAUGAUUAAAAGAUGAUAAAUUAUUAAACAAAGUCUGAAAAAUGUGCCAAGAUCUGCUCUGAGGCUGGGCCUGAGAAGUUGCCCCCUUGGCGUCCACGUUAAUUAAUAAAUGAGACUCUCCGUGGAGAGGAGCCACAGCUGGUAUAUCUGGCAGCCAGGCAGGAGCUGGCGGAGGCCAGAUGCCAUGCAGGUGGGGAGGAAGGGACUCCCUGGGAGUGCCCAGCCUGGGAUUUGGUAACAGAGUCCCCUCCCUCUCUGCUCCCAGCCUAGGACUCAGCGGAGAGCCCCUUGGUACCAUCCGAACAUCUGGCCUCUGGAAGAGGCCUAGGAUUUCAAGCUGAGAAGCUCCAGCUGAUACUUUAAUGCUGUUCCCCUCUCCAAAUGCAGACUUGGGAGCACCCCAAGUGUCUAAAGGAAGGCCGGAGACCAGGAUUCAAAUCUCUGCGAGCCCAUUUCUCCUUGGGUAACUUUUGGCAUUCCCACAGCAACCAGCACAGCCCUUGUGUGGUGGAGGUGCCGGGCAUACUGAGAUGCAUCUGUCAGCAUCUGCCUCCUGGUACCUUGGGCCUGCAUGUCUGGCAGGCAGGUAGAAGAACACGCUGGCCAUUUCAAUGUUAAGACAAAGAGGUAGAGAAGGCUGGAUGAAGGAGGUGAUGACUGAACCAUAUCCUGAGGCAGCUGGGGUUUCCAGGAAGAGGACAGAGAGAAGGACAUUCAGGUGGAGGAGCCAGCAGAUGUGACAACCAGUGCACAGAGAGAUUAACUAACUUGCCGUCCAGUGGGCAUGUGGUGGAGCCCAGGGUGAAACCCAGGCAGUCUCUAAAGCAUUGCCUUCCAACAUGCAAUGGAGUGUGAAAUGCGGAAGCCAUGGGGAAGCACAGGAAAUCGGCCAUGUAAGAUAGGAAGCAAUGGUUCGAUUUAUUCAGUGGUGACGUCCACCACAGCUGCAUUCCAGUAAUCUGCACCCCUCAUCCCAACAUCCUCACCCUGCUCUGCCUGUGUUGGACAACUCGUCUUCUUGACCGGAGGUGAUCUCCCACAGUGAGGUAGCCCUACCCUUUUGUUUCAGCUCUUGGAAAACCCCAAACCUCAAGGCCAUACACUCCUUGUGGCCAAGUGAGCAUCUUGGCAACUUCCCGGCUUUUCCAAAGAGAACUAACUCCUGCUGGGGGCCCCCCAAGUCACCCCUCAUGGCCCUUACUUCUAGUGCUCUGGAAAUGGCUGAAACCAAUGGAUUAACUUGCUUUCCCUAUUAAAUAUUUACAUAAACACGCUCGGGAAGGUGUGUGUAAGUUAUCAAUAAUGCAAGGCCAGCCUAGGCUCGGUGAGAGCUAAGAGACCCAAAUUGUAUCAUCAUAAUCCAUUAUUCACAUAUAAUGCGUCUAUUCUCCUCCAUUAGCGCAGGCAGGAAAUGCCCCUGAGUGCCGGGCAGGGCUUUGGAAAGCGCAAUAAAUGGCGGACAGACACAUGGCGGGAGGGCGGCAGCUGUAGUUAAACAAGUGUAAAUUAGCGCCCAGCCUCGCUCCCUGCCUGCAGCCAGAGCGGCGGGCACAGGCCUGGCAGGGAGGGGUUACAGGAUGUGGGGAACUCGCUAUCAAUCUAGACAGCCCUCAUGGCCUCCCUGGAAACCCUUCCGGAGGAGCCCUCCAGCUGGCCGCGUGGGAGACCACGCCUCAGAGAGCACAGGCUUCUGCUCUGCAGGCCUUGGCUGGAAUCUCAGCUGCACCACUGAGUGGUGACCUGGGGCGAGAGGGUGGAGGGGGCUGCUGCGCAAGCUGCCCCCACACUGAGCUCCGAGCCCCAUCUGUAAUACAGGGAUGAGAAUCACCGUCUCACAAGGUUGUUGCGUGAAGGAAAUAAAAUGAGAAAGGAGAAGUUCCCAGCAUACGGCACACGGGAGGCCCUUAGAGAAUGAAAGAACACUCCUCUCCCUCCUCCCGCUAGGCGGUUUCAGACUUAGGAAUAAAACGGGAGAAGCUUUGCACCGUACCCAAAUGGAUGUGGUGCAAAGGCAAUGCGAGGUAAAGACAGAAGUGGCUUUAUGUUGUCCUCUCGUCAGCUUUGCUGUCCCUGCAGGAGGCUCCUCUCCUCUGGACCCCACCCGAGUGCCCGGUGCUGCGGUCCGUCUCCUGGGCUCAGCAAGCACACUCACCAUCGCCACCCCGUCUCCAGGACUUCUUCAGCCCUUAGUCCGUCCACACCCUCUUCUCAGCACUACCGUAUUCCCCUGGGAGGCAGGUCCUGCACAGAGACGAGCACAUCUGCUGUUGAAACGACCCCAGACCAAACGAAAGUUUUUGAUUACCCGUGAACUGGAAGGUGGACUUUUGGUAUAAAGAGCACCAGACUGGGAGUUGGGAGAGCUGAGUUCUUAUCUCUGUCACCGCUGAUGCUCUGUGGUUUGCGGAGAGUCCCAUGGCCUCUGGACCUCAGUCUGCCUACCUGUAAGAGUAAGGGAAUUAAUCAAAUGAUUUGAUGAUCACGCAUGACUUAGUGAAUGUGAAGUGCUAGGUGUGUCUCAGGACCCUUCCUGGCUCCAGAACCCUCAGGAUCAGAGGCAUCAUGAGAUUCUAGAAUCAAUAUUCUGGUUCAAGUCAUUGCUUUGUCUUGUCUCCACAGCUACAGCUGGAUUUUUUCUAGCACCGAAGCUGUGUCGUGGUACAGAGACCCAGUGCCCUGGUGUCAGGUGGAUGGGCAUGAGCUUGAUUCACCUUUUACAGAGGAAUCACAUUAGCAGCCCCUCCUUACCCCUCCCCUCCCACUGUAAGGGGUCAUGAGCCCAAUGCCUAAGGGCAUGGCAGUGAUGGCUGUUCAGUGGAGGCCACAAAAUAAAAUGUGAAUUUGGAAAGGCAGGGAGCAGAUGACCAGGUUUUGUACUUUUCGGACAAUGGUGUCCACAUGUGGGCGGUUUGUCUGGGCCAGACCAGUUCUUGGCUCUGAUGCCACCUCCUCAGAGAGGCCCUCCCUGCCCUAUCUAAGAGCCGCCCCACUACUCUCUUUCCCCCAUCCAUUUUAUUUUUCUUCCCAUCACUACCUGACAUUUUAUUGUGUACCUACUAGUUUUCUUGCUCAUUGUGUGUUUCCUCGACUGGAAUGUUGGCUCCAUAAGGACAGGUAUCUUGUCCGUCUUGUUCUCUGCUGUUCCCCUGAGGCCUGGCCCCUAGUAGAAAUUCGAUACGUACUGAAUGAAUGAAUGAUUGUAGAUUCAAAUUUAGCACACAUAUAUUGAGCACCUACUCUAGGCCCAUCACUGUGCAGGUGCUUUUACAUAUGUUACACAUUUAAUCGGCUUAACAAUGACAUCUAUUCAUAUAUAUUAAGACCAGUGGGCACUAACAUUAAAUUUCAAUUAAGUGAGCCUGGUAGGAAUGCUUCACAUCUCCUCCCCUGCUUCAUGUGUGCCAGGGGGCUAAUCAUGAUUGAAAGGCUGAAGCAGUUGAAUGAUGUUGUGUUCCUAUGUCCUGAUGCCUUCUCCCAGGCUUUCCUUUUUUUUUUUUUUUUUGAGAUGGAGUCUCUCUCUGUCGCCCAGGCUGGAGUGCAAUGGUAUGAUCUUGGCUCAUCGCAACCUCCGCUUCCUGGGUUCAAGCGAUUCUCCUGCCUCAGCCUCCUGAGUAGCUGGGAUUAUAGGCAUGCGGCACCACACCAGGCUAAUUUUGUAUUUUUAGUAGAGACGGGGUUUCUCCAUGUUGGUCAGGCUGAUCUCAAACUUCCGACCUGCUUCGGUGAUCUGCCUGCUUUGGUCUCCCAAAGUCCUGGGAUUACAGGCAUGAACCACCGCACCCAGCCUAAACUUUCCUUCUUGUCCUUCCUUCAGUUCAGCUCAUCUGCUCUCAAACUCAAGGGUGUUUAGGUAAAAAUGACUGUACUAGGUUAUAUACAAAGAAAGCCAGGGAGCCGAUUUCAAGGAAUUGAAGAGAAAUUUGAACUCUAUGCAACUUUUGCCUGAUGUACCAAUUUUGGAAUCAAAUGCUCAUAUGCUAUAUAAGAUUACUGUACUAGCUGCGUGGCUUUGGGCAAGUUACUAACCCUCCUUGAGCCUCAGCUUCCUUAUCUGUAUAUGAAGAUAUUAAUAGCUACCUUACAGAGUAUAUAAGAUCUGCAUAUGAUCUGUAUAUGAUAAGCAAUAGGUGGGUUUGAAUCCUACUUUCAGCGCUAACUAGCCAUGUGACCUUAGACAAGUUUACGUAAUCCUUCUGUUCCUCAGUUUCCUCAUCUGUUACAUGGGUGAUAUUAAUAGGGUGUACCUUUUGAUUGGGCUGGACCCUGUUUGCAUUCUGCCCUGAAGGAGAGCGGGGCUGUGGGUCAAAGCUGCCCUAAUUAUAGGUGCAGCAUCCGGAGCAAGGUGUUGCUUGGCUCUGCACUGCUGGCAGGUGUGGAAGUCCUUGCCCCAUGGGUGAAUUCCAGCGCAGUUACUGCCUGUGGGGCAGUAGUUGGCAGGUGGCAAAAGAAAAACUUUAAGAGAACACAGAUGGUCACACUUGACAAAAAAUGUUCUAGCAACCUCACCUACUGAAAUCUCCAAAUGUUCUCCAGUCCUGGGUACUUUAAACAUACACUGGCCCUAAUCAGUCAGCAUUAUUAUAGUCCUUCGUUCAUUUAACAAAUAGGUAUUGAGUGCUAUUAUGUGACAGGCACUGUACUAGGGAGUGAGAAAACAAGUCAGGCACAGUCUUCAUCCUCAUGGAGCAUGCAAUUUGGUGGCCAUAGUGAUAAAAAAAAAAUAACAAGAAUAAUAAGAAGAUGGCAUCCAUUUAUAACAUGCCCAGAGCCUGGGCUAUGUGCUUUCAUAUAGCACCUUAUUUAAUCCUCACAACAUUCCUAUGAGGCUCAUCUUAAUAUCCUCAUUUUAUAAAUGAGGUACCUAAAGCCCAGAGAGGUGAUGCGACUUCUGCAAGGUCCCAGAAUUAGCAAGUGGUAGUCGAGACACUGGAAUCCAGAUCCAUCUAUUUCCACAGUGUUACUGUCACCUUUUCCUCUGAAGUAGCUUCCAAAAAGGGAGAGUCUCCUGGGCUACCUGGGACCUUCCAGAGGAAGGAAGGGCCUGGUGAGGACAGGAGAAAACAGUUGAUCCUGAAAUCCCUGCUCAGUGCUGAAGUGUGGAGACUGUCCUGCCGUAGAUUGCAGGAACCCUAUAUGGGGCGAGCAGUAAUAAGUCCCAGCUCAGUGUGCGGGUGGAGAUGCCCGUGAGGAAGGGCCAGCCACAGGCUUGCUUGGGCAGUGGCCCAAGCUGGUGGUGUGACAUCUUUACUGUCUGAUUAUUUAUAGAGUCCCUGGGACAGCAGGCAUCCAAGGCAGCUCAGAGGUUAUGGGCUUGGGGACCAGGAGAAAUAAAUAGCCUUCAAAAACCCCAGCCUGGUGGGGGAAGAUAUGGAGCCAGGAUGAGAUGUCUGCCCCGCAGUCUGGUGGGGGCUAUAUGAGGAGAGGAAGGACUGGGGUCCCUGGAGCCUGCAGGGACCAUGCUGGGGGACAGCUGGGGGACAGGCCAGACAUAUCUCUCCCUUGGCCACUGGGCUGGGGGAGACCUGAGAGCCUCAGCCCUGUGAUGGAGGCAGUGAUCUCACUGGGGAGGGCCUGGGGCCUGGGGCCUCGGACUCAGGUCAUCAUGCUAGCCUCUUGAGAGUGGCAAGGAGUCCAGAGCAGGGGCAGGAGCCUCAGGCUGUUGAUUCUGCAGGAGGUCACUGUUCUAUCAGAGUUCUAUCAGAGAAGCAGAACGUGUGUGAUCCGAGGGCUUUAUGCUCGGGGCAAGGCUUUUCCUGAUCAUGGGAGCUGCUAGGCAGCGGUGUCAGCCUGUAUUCACGUGUCUGCUCCAGACCUGGAGUCAGCAGGGCUGGCGGUCAGCAAGAGAAGAUGGACAGGAAGAGGAAGUGAGCAAGGACAAGGCAGAACCCAAAAGAAUGGCCUGAACACAAAAGGAGGAGCGUCACCAGUUGAGGGCUUGCUGGGAUGGCAUCUGCUUCUCACUGGCACCUGGGUGGCCUCCCACUGCCUCUAAGCCUCCAACUGAUGAUAUGGGUGAUCUGCAGAAGAACUAGCCCGCUUCACCACAAAGCUGCACACAAGCCAGGCCCCGAGUUUGGAGAAGCUGAAAGAGGAGAUCGAUCUGGGGUUGCCACCCCAAGAUCGCAAGCUAACAAGGUGAGCCAGCAGGUGGGCUGCACACGCAUGAGCUGAGAAUCACCCAAACCCACAUAGACCUUGAGUGCAAAUGAAGCUGCUGCUCCACUUCUGCCUUCCAAAUCUCACACAAAUUUCUCUUGUGGCCACCCCUAACCCAGAACUGUGCAGGAAAUUCUGGGACAUGUAGUUCCAGCUUUGCUAAGUUGACACAGGACAAAGCGUGCACAUUCACUGUGUGACUUUGACCAAGUCCUUGACCCUCUCUGAGCCUCAGUUUCACCAUCAGUAAAAUGUGGGAUGGACUCCUCAGUGGUUCCUCUUUUAAUGUAAAAAACAAAAACAACAAACAAACAACAACAACACAACCCCAAACCCCAAAACUACAAAAACAAAACAAAAAAGAGGCGGAGACAUGGAUUUCCUCAUCUCUCCUUUGUGUGCAAAUGAAAGCGAGGUCUCCUCUAAAUAAACCUGCAAAUCCCCAGGAGGCUGAGGCCCCAGGUGGGAAGCACCUGGGAUAGAUCAUUUGCAGAUCCCUCCUCCUUCGGACAGAUAGAAUACAAGGCUGAACUUAAGGGCAAGACCUGAGCUCUAGCAUUGCUGCUGGAUGACAAAGCAAGGUGGUAAGCCUCUCUGAGCCCAGCUUCUUUCCCUCUGUGAUAAGAACAAUUCUUUUACCUUUCAGGGGUCCAUCACAUAGAUGUCAGAUGCUGGGGUAGGGCUCAGAGUGUAUAACAGGCUUCUUAGAUGGUGACUUAAGAUCAGCUUUGUGGAAACCACUGUGCUGUCUGAGGACAGGGAGACAGUGAAUUCUAGGACUCCUCCUCAGUGGAGCUCUCUGGACUGUGG